GUUAAACUGAAAGACCCCCUCCCAGAAAGGGAAUUGUACAAGCCCAAGGCCCUCAACUAUAGAAGUAAAAAGUAAGUUUUUAGAUAUGUGGGACAAGCUGACCCAACAUUUAGACAAAAUAGCCCAGAAAAGAAAACAAAAUGCAGAAACCAGACUAAAUUAUGGGCACUGCUCCAUGGGCCACCUGGCAGGAAAAAGAAAAAGUCCCUGACCCCCCGGAAGCCCUGACCACCAUGUACUUUUUGCUAACUCAUUGUUAUGAUUAUAGCCAAAAUAAGUAACAUACACGUAUGCCUCAUUUACUCCACCAAUCACAUCCCUGUAACCAUGCAUCUGCUUCUGUAAGCCUGCUUCUGCUCCCCAAAAUACUAUAAAAAGCCCACCCUGGCUCUGCUAGGUGCGCCAGUCUUCCGAAUUGACUGGGACGCCCACAGAUACCUGUGUAUCCUGAUCAAUAAAAAUCCUCUUGCUGAUUGCAGCCUGUGGACUCGGACUGGUCAUUGGGCUUGAGGAUCUCCCUCCUGAGGGAAGAUUCUCUCUGAGAGUCUUACAUAUGGGGGCUCGUCCGGGAUCGGAGAUCCUCUGCCUAGAGACCACCAACCACCCACCGGGAGGCUAAAAGACCUACAGGUGAUACAGAAAGAAAUCUGCUCACAGCCGACAGCAGCCUAUGCCCCGGAGACCCCCGAGACAUGUCAUCAGUUCCAGGUUAGAGACUGCAGCUACACUGAGCCCAGACACUCGAGCCUCGAUAGAAAGGACCGUACCUGGUGCUGCUGACCACCCUGACAGCCGUCAAUUCUCAGCCCUCACCAGCAGCGUACUAGUUGUUGGGGCUGAGAGCUGGGACCUAGAGGGACACUCAGAUCUUCAAAAAGCUCCCUAGACUUAAGUGACUGGGAGGUUGCUAUAAUGCUUACUUGAGGAGUGUGUUUUAGAAACAAGAAUUUCAUGUUUGCCUGUUUGCCCUGGGUUCCCUCGGAAUAGGUGUAAGGAUAGGCUUGAUUUUUAUUACAAAUGAUGUAACAUUACAUAUGUUAGUACUCCUAACACUUCUUGGGACUGUGCCUCAGGGAUCACAACCUAUAUAAGUUUAGAAGUUCUAAAAGACCUUGGUGUAUAGGUUCAGAUAGUGUCCAGAUUAGAAUCCUGAUGCUAAAGACUUAAUAAGACACAAAAGAGAGUUGAGAAUUAUUUAAGGCUAUCUAGGUGCUACAAGGACAGCACAAGGACAUCUGCUGUUGCCCUACAAUGCAAGGCUUAUAGAGAAUUCAGAACUGCCAUUGACUCAGAUAUAAAAAGAGUAAAAAAGACUUUUUAGCUGACCUCCAAGAAUACCUAACCUCCCUCUCAGAGGUAGUCCUUCAAAAUAGGAAAAGAUUAGACCUGAUAUUCCUUAAAGAAAGAGUCUGUGUGCUACACUAAAAGAAGAAUGUUGUUUCUAUGCAGAUCAGACAGGAAUAAUAAGAGAUACAGACUUUCAGUCAUUCAAACUUUUGUGCUGAGACAACAGUAUCAGAUGGUGAAACAACAAAAAACAGAGGUACCUUAACCAAGUUGAGUGGAAGAUUCCACUCAAGGACAAAAAGAAAAUGGGGGAAUGAAAGACCCCCUCCCAGAAAGGGAAUUGUACAAGCCCAAGGCCCUCAACUAUAGAAGUAAAAAGUAAGUUUUUAGAUAUGUGGGACAAGCUGACCCAACAUUUAGACAAAAUAGCCCAGAAAAGAAAACAAAAUGCAGAAACCAGACUAAAUUAUGGGCACUGCUCCAUGGGCCACCUGGCAGGAAAAAGAAAAAGUCCCUGACCCCCCGGAAGCCCUGACCACCAUGUACUUUUUGCUAACUCAUUGUUAUGAUUAUAGCCAAAAUAAGUAACAUACACGUAUGCCUCAUUUACUCCACCAAUCACAUCCCUGUAACCAUGCAUCUGCUUCUGUAAGCCUGCUUCUGCUCCCCAAAAUACUAUAAAAAGCCCACCCUGGCUCUGCUAGGUGCGCCAGUCUUCCGAAUUGACUGGGACGCCCACAGAUACCUGUGUAUCCUGAUCAAUAAAAAUCCUCUUGCUGAUUGCA